rnacentral:rRNA from 1 species
CCCAGUUCGGACUGGAGUCUGCAACCCGACUCCACGAAGUUGGAUUCGCUAGUAAUCGCGCAUCAGCCAUGGCGCGGUGAAUACGUUCCCGGGCCUUGUACACACCGCCCGUCAAGCCAUGGGAGCCGGGGGCGCCUGAAGUCCGGGACCGCGAGGACCGGCCUAGGGCGAAACUGGUAACUGGGGCUAAGUCGUAACAAGGUAUC